rnacentral:lncRNA from 1 species
CCUCCCUGAUUUUUUCGAUUGGAGCCGCGGAUACUCGUUUCUUUCUUGCCGUGAUUGCUCACCGGUGGGAUCAUCGGAGGUCGAAGUAAGCCUUCCUUCUCUUCCUCUCUUCUUUUCCUUUCUUCUCGUGCCUUUGUGCACGACUGCCGGCGACGGGUGUCACCGAUUUUUGAUCGAAAAAGAGACCCCUGUUUUGGCAUCUUUUUUCCUUUGAUUUUUCGACGCCGGCGAUCACAAC